UGGAUAAAAGCUAAGUCCGACUCCUGCACGUCCUGAUGCCUGUGCUAGCAAUGUGGCUGUUACGGCACACAUAGCCAGACACAAAGGGAAAUUCUGACGCUUCCGGGGCCAGCCCACAACAACAGCCCUGCAGCAAACUGAUGUAAGUAAAGUUCCCACUGAAGUUCUGGCACGCACAUCUAGUAAUCUCAGAGUGCUGGAACUUCAGUGGGAAACACUUCGUAACAC